rnacentral:rRNA from 1 species
UUAAUCCUGGCUCAGGACGAACGCUGGCGGCGUGCUUAACACAUGCAAGUCGAACGGAAAGGCCCUGCUUUUGUGGGGUGCUCGAGUGGCGAACGGGUGAGUAACACGUGAGUAACCUGCCCUUGACUUUGGGAUAACUUCAGGAAACUGGGGCUAAUACCGGAUAGGAGCUCCUGCUGCAUGGUGGGGGUUGGAAAGUUUCGGCGGUUGGGGAUGGACUCGCGGCUUAUCAGCUUGUUGGUGGGGUAGUGGCUUACCAAGGCUUUGACGGGUAGCCGGCCUGAGAGGGUGACCGGCCACAUUGGGACUGAGAUACGGCCCAGACUCCUACGGGAGGCAGCAGUGGGGAAUAUUGCACAAUGGGCGGAAGCCUGAUGCAGCAACGCCGCGUGCGGGAUGACGGCCUUCGGGUUGUAAACCGCUUUCGCCUGUGACGAAGCGUGAGUGACGGUAAUGGGUAAAGAAGCACCGGCUAACUACGUGCCAGCAGCCGCGGUGAUACGUAGGGUGCGAGCGUUGUCCGGAUUUAUUGGGCGUAAAGGGCUCGUAGGUGGUUGAUCGCGUCGGAAGUGUAAUCUUGGGGCUUAACCCUGAGCGUGCUUUCGAUACGGGUUGACUUGAGGAAGGUAGGGGAGAAUGGAAUUCCUGGUGGAGCGGUGGAAUGCGCAGAUAUCAGGAGGAACACCAGUGGCGAAAGCGGUUCUCUGGGCCUUUCCUGACGCUGAGGAGCGAAAGCGUGGGGAGCGAACAGGCUUAGAUACCCUGGUAGUCCACGCUGUAAACGGUGGGUACUAGGUGUGGGGUCCAUUUCCACGGGUUCCGUGCCGUAACUAACGCUUUAAGUUCCCCGCCUGGGGAGUACGGCCGCAAGGCUAAAACUCAAAGGAAUUGACGGGGCCCCGCACAAGCGGCGGAGCAUGCGGAUUAAUUCGAUGCAACGCGUAGAACCUUACCUGGGUUUGGCAUGGAUCGGGAGUGCUCAGAGAUGGGUGUGCCUCUUUUGGGGUCGGUUCACAGGUGGUGCAUGGCUGUCGUCAGCUCGUGUCGUGAGAUGUUGGGUUAAGUCCCGCAACGAGCGCAACCCUUGUUCACUGUUGCCAGCACGUUAUGGUGGGGACUCAGUGGAGACCGCCGGGGUCAACUCGGAGGAAGGUGGGGAUGACGUCAAGUCAUCAUGCCCCUUAUGUCCAGGGCUUCACGCAUGCUACAAUGGCUGGUACAGAGAGUGGCGAGCCUGUGAGGGUGAGCGAAUCUCGGAAAGCCGGUCUCAGUUCGGAUUGGGGUCUGCAACUCGACCUCAUGAAGUCGGAGUCGCUAGUAAUCGCAGAUCAGCAACGCUGCGGUGAAUACGUUCCCGGGGCUUGUACACACCGCCCGUCAAGUCAUGAAAGUUGGUAACACCCGAAGCCGGUGGCCUAACCGUUGUGGGGGAGCCGUCGAAGGUGGGACUGGUGAUUAGGACUAAGUCGUAACAAGGUAACCA